CAGUCGCCACGGUAAUACGUAUGUCACAAGCGUUAUCCGGAUUUAUUGGGCGUAAAGCGCGUCUAGGUGGUUAUGUAAGUCAGAUGUGAAAAUGCAGGGCUCAACUCUGUAUUGCGUUGGAAACUGUGUAACUAGAGUACUGGAGAGGUAAGCAGAACUACAAGUGUAGAGGUGAAAUUCGUAGAUAUUUGUAGGAAUGUCGAUGGGGAAGCCAGCUUACUGGACAGAUACUGACGCUAAAGCGCGAAAGCGUGGGUAGCAAACAGGAUUAGAUACCCGGGUAGUCCCUGUCUCUUAUACA
rnacentral:rRNA from 1 species